rnacentral:rRNA from 1 species
AUUGAACGCUGGCGGCAGGCUUAACACAUGCAAGUCGAGCGGGGGAAGGUAGCUUGCUACUGGACCUAGCGGCGGACGGGUGAGUAAUGCUUAGGAAUCUGCCUAUUAGUGGGGGACAACAUCUCGAAAGGGAUGCUAAUACCGCAUACGUCCUACGGGAGAAAGCAGGGGAUCUUCGGACCUUGCGCUAAUAGAUGCGCCUAAGUCGGAUUAGCUAGUCGGUGGGGUAAAGGCCUACCAAGGCGACGAUCUGUAGCGGGUCUGAGAGGAUGAUCCGCCACACUGGGACUGAGACACGGCCCAGACUCCUACGGGAGGCAGCAGUGGGGAAUAUUGGACAAUGGGGGGAACCCUGAUCCAGCCAUGCCGCGUGUGUGAAGAAGGCCUUAUGGUUGUAAAGCACUUUAAGCGAGGAGGAGGCUACUUUAGUUAAUACCUAGAGAUAGUGGACGUUACUCGCAGAAUAAGCACCGGCUAACUCUGUGCCAGCCGCCGCCGUAA